rnacentral:hammerhead_ribozyme from 1 species
GCAUUGCUGAGGAGUCCCAUAAUAGGACGAAACGGUCGUCCAAGGU